rnacentral:rRNA from 1 species
AGUGAACGCUGGCGGUAGGCCUAACACAUGCAAGUCGAACGGCAGCACAGUAAGAGCUUGCUCUUACGGGUGGCGAGUGGCGGACGGGUGAGGAAUACAUCGGAAUCUACUUUUUCGUGGGGGAUAACGUAGGGAAACUUACGCUAAUACCGCAUACGACCUACGGGUGAAAGCAGGGGAUCUUCGGACCUUGCGCGAUUGAAUGAGCCGAUGUCGGAUUAGCUAGUUGGCAGGGUAAAGGCCCACCAAGGCGACGAUCCGUAGCUGGUCUGAGAGGAUGAUCAGCCACACUGGAACUGAAACACGGUCCAGACUCCUACGGGAGGCAGCAGUGGGGAAUAUUGGACAAUGGGCGCAAGCCUGAUCCAGCCAUACCGCGUGGGUGAAGAAGUCCUUCGGGUUGUAAAGCCCUUUUGUUGGGAAAGAAAAGCAGCAGGUUAAUACCCCGCUGUUCUGACGGUACCCAAAGAAUAAGCACCGGCUAACUUCGUG